rnacentral:rRNA from 1 species
AACGAACGCUGGCGGCAUGCCUAACACAUGCAAGUCGAACGAGACCUUCGGGUCUAGUGGCGCACGGGUGCGUAACGCGUGGGAACCUGCCCUUAGGUUCGGAAUAACUCCCCGAAAGGGGUGCUAAUACCGGAUAAUGUCUUCGGACCAAAGAUUUAUCGCCCUUGGAUGGGCCCGCGUUGGAUUAGCUAGUUGGUAGGGUAAAAGCCUACCAAGGCGACGAUCCAUAGCUGGUCUGAGAGGAUGAUCAGCCACACUGGGACUGAGACACGGCCCAGACUCCUACGGGAGGCAGCAGUGGGGAAUAUUGGACAAUGGGCGAAAGCCUGAUCCAGCACUGCCGCGUGAGUGAUGAAGGCCUUAGGGUUGUAAAGCUCUUUUACCCGGGAUGAUAAUGACAGUACCGGGAGAAUAAGCUCCGGCUAACUCCGU